CGGUCCAGACUCCUACGGGAGGCAGCAGUAAGGAGUUUUCGGCAAUGGGGGAAACCCUGACCGAGCAACGCCGCGUGAGUGAUGACGGCCCUAUGGGUUGUAAAGCUCUGUUGUAAGGGACGAAUGAUUCGCUUAGGAAAUGAAGCGAGUUUGACGGUACCUUACCAGAAAGCCACGGCUAACUACGUGCCAGCAGCCGCGGUAA
rnacentral:rRNA from 1 species